rnacentral:rRNA from 1 species
GGUCGCGUCUGCUGUGAAAACCCGAGGCUCAAACCUCGGGCCUGCAGUGGGUACGGGCAGACUAGAGUGCGGUAGGGGAGAUUGGAACUCUGGUGUAGCGGUGGAAUGCGCAGAUAUCAGGAAGAACACCGAUGGCGAAGGCAGAUCUCUGGGCCGUAACUGACGCUGAGGAGCGAAAGGGUGGGGAGCAAACAGGCUUAGAUACCCUGGUAGUCCACCCCGUAAACGUUGGGAACUAGUUGUGGGGUCCAUUCCACGGAUUCCGUGACGCAGCUAACGCAUUAAGUUCCCCGCCUGGGGAGUACGGCCGCAAGGCUAAAACUCAAAGGAAUUGACGGGGACCCGCACAAGCGGCGGAGCAUGCGGAUUAAUUCGAUGCAACGCGAAGAACCUUACCAAGGCUUGACAUAUAGAGGAAACGUCUGGAAACAGUCGCCCCGCAAGGUCUCUAUACAGGUGGUGCAUGGUUGUCGUCAGCUCGUGUCGUGAGAUGUUGGGUUAAGUCCCGCAACGAGCGCAACCCUCGUUCUAUGUUGCCAGCACGUAAUGGUGGGAACUCAUGGGAUACUGCCGGGGUCAACUCGGAGGAAGGUGGGGAUGACGUCAAAUCAUCAUGCCCCUUAUGUCUUGGGCUUCACGCAUGCUACAAUGGCCGGUACAAAGGGCUGCAAUACCGUAAGGUGGAGCGAAUCCCAAAAAGCCGGUCCCAGUUCGGAUUGAGGUCUGCAACUCGACCUCAUGAAGUCGGAGUCGCUAGUAAUCGCAGAUCAGCAACGCUGCGGUGAAUACGUUCCCGGGUCUUGUACACACCGCCCGUC